AGUGAACGCUGGCGGUAGGCCUAACACAUGCAAGUCGAACGGCAGCACAGUAAGAGCUUGCUCUUACGGGUGGCGAGUGGCGGACGGGUGAGGAAUACAUCGGAAUCUACUUUUUCGUGGGGGAUAACGUAGGGAAACUUACGCUAAUACCGCAUACGACCUACGGGUGAAAUCAGGGGAUCUUCGGACCUUGCGCGAUCGAAUGAGCCGAUGUCGGAUUAGCUAGUUGGCGGGGUAAAGGCCCACCAAGGCGUCGAUCCGUAGCUGGUCUGAGAGGAUGAUCAGCCACACUGGAACUGAGACACGGUCCAGACUCCUACGGGAGGCAGCAGUGGGGAAUAUUGGACAAUGGGCGCAAGCCUGAUCCAGCCAUACCGCGUGGGUGAAGAAGGCCUUCGGGUUGUAAAGCCCUUUUGUUGGGAAAGAAAAGCAGCAGGUUAAUACCCCGCUGUUCUGACGGUACCCAAAGAAUAAGCACCGGCUAACUUCGUG
rnacentral:rRNA from 1 species